UUCCCCUUCGGGGGACGAGGGUGACAGGUGGUGCAUGGUUGUCGUCAGCUCGUGUCGUGAGAUGUUGGGUUAAGUCCCGCAACGAGCGCAACCCUCGACCUUAGUUGCCAGCAUUCAGUUGGGCACUCUAAGGUGACUGCCGGCUAAAAGUCGGAGGAAGGUGGGGAUGACGUCAAAUCAUCAUGCCCCUUAUGACCUGGGCUACACACGUGCUACAAUGGGCGGUACAAAGGGUCGCGAACCCGCGAGGGGGAGCCAAUCCCAAAAAGCCGCUCUCAGUUCGGAUUGCAGGCUGCAACUCGCCUGCAUGAAGCCGGAAUCGCUAGUAAUCGCGGAUCAGCAUGCCGCGGUGAAUACGUUCCCGGGCCUU
rnacentral:rRNA from 1 species